rnacentral:misc_RNA from 1 species
GGGAUGGAACUUUUUGAAAUUUCGGGUCGACAAAAUAUUUUAUACAUUGCUCCUGGUCAACGUGGAUCUGUCACCAAUUACAUUGCUUCCCUCUGAAUCGACUUGGUAAUGGAAUAACAAGAAAGUGGAGUCCCCGUUCAACUCUUUUCUUUUCUUUCUGGUCGCUGUCAUUCUUUCUUUCCCUGCAAUCAAACGACGCCGUUGUCAAACACUUCUGUUUCUACCAAACACCUAAAGUUCGCGUUGUUGUCCCCCUCGCUCCCUCUCUCUGAGAAUCAGCAUUGCGACAGUGAAAAUGGACUCCGGCGGCGGUGUCUUGUUGGCUUCAUCUUCUACUGCGGUGGAGCAAAUGGGUGGUGGAGGAGUAGGAGGCAUGAGGAAAAAUCCAACAAUGAUUUGUGCUCCAAUCAUGGCGGAUUCCGUCGAUAAGAUGAUCAUUGAUUUGGAUAAGGCCAAAGCUAGCGGUGCUGAUCUCGUGGAGAUUCGAUUAGAUAGUUUGAAGAGCUUUAAUCCUACUGAAGACCUUAAAACCCUUAUAACUCGUUCUCCUUUGCCCACUCUUUUCACUUACAGACCAAUAUGGGAGGGAGGUCAGUAUGAAGGUGACGAACCCAGUAGAUUGGAUGCUCUUAGAUUAGCCAUGGAGUUGGGAGCUGAUUAUGUUGAUGUUGAGCUUCAGGUUGCUCGUCAGUUUAAUGACUCCACACAUGAAAAAAAACCUGCGAAGUGCAAAGUCAUUGUUUCUUCUCACAACUAUCACAACACCCCAUCUGUUGAGGAGCUUGGCAACCUUGUGGCAAAAAUACAAGCUGCUGGAGCUGACAUAGUGAAGAUUGCAACAACUGCCUUGGAUAUUACUGAUGUUGCUCGCAUUUUCCAAAUAACUGUCCAUUCUCAAGUUCCGAUAAUUGGAAUUGUUAUGGGUGAGAGGGGUUUGAUUUCACGGAUACUUUGUGCAAAGUUUGGUGGGUAUCUCACUUUUGGCACUCUAGAGUCAGGAAUAGUUUCUGCUCCUGGUCAACCAAUGAUCAAGGAUUUACUGGAUCUAUACAAUUUUAGAUCAAUUGGACCUGAUACAAAAGUAUAUGGCAUUAUUGGAAAGCCUGUCAGCCACAGCAAAUCACCUAUUUUAUACAAUGAAGCAUUCAAGUCAGUUGGAUUCAAUGGUGUGUAUGUUCAUUUGUUAGUGGAUGACAUAGCCAAUUUUCUCCAGACUUUCUCAUCCACAGAUUUUGCAGGAUUCAGGUUUUAUUUCUAUAAGCAUUGCUAUUUGGUAAAAUAUAAUGUUUCUCAUACAUGUAACAUCUUGCUUUGGUUUAAUCAAUAAACAUUUUCUAGUGUUUCACAUUCACUUCUUUUGGUGGGUAAGAUCUUUGACUGGGCGAUGUAGAACCAAUAGAACACAAAGGGGAAGUGAAACAAAUUCUUAAUUGUAUCAUUUUUCAAAAUCAAUGAUAAUCAUAAUAGUAGUCUACCAAAAUACCUUGAUAACUUAGGUAUAUAUAGUAGAAUUGUUAAUUUUACUAUUAAUAGGAUUAGGAAUGAGAAAAUUCUAAAUCAACUCUAAUUAUCAUUCUAAUUAGGUAUAAGAAGAGAAGAUGCUUCUCUUCUUCUCUAGACUCCAGGAUCUGUGUGGGAGAUGCUGCUUGUGUUUUUAUUUUUUGCUUUCUUGGGUGAAGAACCUGAGCUGCUUCUUGUACUCCUUCUCGGCUUUUUCAGACUCCAAGACCCGUGUGAAGGAUGCUGCUUGUGUUUUUAUUUUUUGCUUUCUUGGGUGAAGAACCUGAGCUGCUUCUUGUACUCCUUCUCGGCUUUUUCAGACUCCAAGACCCGUGUGAAGGAUGCUGCUUGUGUUUUUAUUUUUUGCUUUCUUAGUUAAUGGGCUUAUAGUUAAAUGGUGGAUUCCUUCUCGGCUUCUUUAGGCUCCAGGAUCUAUGUGGGCCUGCUGCUUCUGCUUCUCAACUUCUCCAGAUUCCAGGAUCUGUGUGGGGAUAUUGCUUGUGUUUUGCUAACUUGGGUAAUGGGCAGGUGCAUAAUAACAGCGUGAACUUGGCUUACAAGUCUAGUGUAUCUGAAAUCCGACCUAUUGGGUUUGGGCUUCCGGGGCAUUGGAUGGUUUUUCCAAUGGUGGGAAUGGAAUCGCUGGUGGACAGCUAGUCGCGGGAUGUUCAGAUGUUGGAGACAGUUGAGUUUCGGUUGAUUCGUGAUUCAGGUUGGAUACCAACCCAUUCAGAUCUCCGCUUUUGGGCUACUUCAGGAGGUAAGAUUUGCUCCAGUGAAGUCGCAUGCGGAUUGGAGAUGGCGGUGCUGUGUUUUGAUGGCCGGACGGUGGUUGGUUAGUGAAGGCAGUGGCUGGGGUUCUUUUCUGUUUUGUGAUGGG